GCCACAGCAGAUUCUGAGGGAAAAUAAGGAAAAAUGCCUCCAGGAGCUGGGGCUGCAUGAAGAAAAGCCACACCCCCUCUAUCACACCUCUCCUGCUAAAACAAACCGCAAGACCUGGCAACAGCGAAAACGGCAGGUUUGGGAGUGCCAACAUGUUACCCCCACCAGCAGCCGCCUUUGUGAACAGCCACCUGCAGAAAUCACUGGUCCAUUUCAAAACAACUAGAGCUGUGCUCCUCACAGACUUCACCCUAGGACUGCAAUCAAUCCAUCACCUUUGGUAAGAGAGAGUUGUCUACUCAGCGGACAUUGCGAAAAGAUCCAAGGAGCAGAGGCUGGCAGGUGUGGAGGGAGCAGAAGAGCUGAGGAGAGUUUUGGGGUGGAUAGCGUCGACUUCCGGAGCAUUGCAGUGUAGGUGCCCCCGGCCGACCUCACCGAGGCCAGCGAGGAGCACCCACGGGACGAUGACGACGGAUACCACUCCUACUGUACUGUCUGCCGCCGCAAGGCAAGGCAAGGGGAUGCUGCUGCGUAGCACUGCAGCACCGCGUCUGCCAGAAGCAUCCAGUAGACAU